UGGCACCUGGGAUGGGAAGGAAGGUGAGGAGAAGAGAUAGGGUUAGAGAGGUAGUGGGCUUUUCUUUGCUAUUGGGCCAAUGGGCCUGAAAUAGUGGGUGGUGGGAGGGUUCAGUUUGGGCUUCUUUUGAGUUUUGAAUGGGUAUAAGCAUUUUUCCUUUUUUCCUAUAUAUACAUAUGGAAUAUAUACUUCAUAUAUGCAUUUUUUUUUCAAAAAUCUUGGGUAUUCAUUUGAAUACCCAUGAAUUGAAGUGGGCCCGCCCCUGAAUGGGAACGCGUCAUCACUCAUCACCCCCUCCCUUUUUCUUCUUCUCUCCCUUCCUCGUCUCUCUCCCAUGGGGGUCGCAUAAAAGGUAGGCAAUCUCGAAUAGUCUAAUCCCAAACCGAAGAACCAUAAAAAAAUCAUCUGUAAGUCCGACCGAGCGACGACCUGCGUCCCCGCACGCGUGAUGUGUUCGUCACAUACGCCGCCCAAAGGGAAAAAAAAUUAGAGAUCAAAUCAAAAUCCUAAUCACGUACAGCGGACAAAUCCCAAAAUCAAAUAUCGAUUAAAAACCCAAUUGUGGCAAAUAACAUCCAGAGUCAUCAAAUAACACAAAAAAAAACCAAACCAAAAUUAAGAAGUUUAAUGUAUAGUGAUCCAGACAUUUUUUUUCUGGUUGGUAUAAAAAAAGGUAUAUAUAUAGGACAUUUAGAUGGAUGUAGAGAAUUUAUUCCAAGUGAGACCGCUCAUUAGAGCAAGUUUAAUAGUGUAGCCAACUAUGGGCUGCAAAUCAUUCAUAAUCUAUUAUAUACUAAAAGUCCAUUAAACUUCUUACAAAUGCUCCUAAACUGCCACGUGGCGCUCCUACAAACGCUCCUAAACCGACACGUGGCAAUUUCAAUCUAACCGUCGGUUUUCACUUAAAUUUAUGGGUCCGUUAUUUUAAACCAUUAGAUUAGAUCUAUUUAAAAGGUCCCGCUUCAGAUUAUUAUCAGAUAUAUACAAGAUAUUUUUACGAGAAAAAUUGGCAUGUAUUUCGAUCAGAUAUAAACCCUGUUCGCUUAAGGAAAACAAAUCAACAUAUGUACGUACAGCUGUAGAGCGAAAACAAAAAUACUACACCGUAUGUUGAUAGAACCUAUAAUAGACAGUCUCUAAAAAUAAGAUUUUCUAUACAUGGCACUUUCUAAUCUAACCGUCGAUUUUAACUUAAUUUGGUAGCUCCGUUAUUUUAAACAUUAGAUUAGAUCUAUUUAAAAGGUUCUGCUUCACCUCAUUGUCAAGUAUAUACCAGAUAUUUUUUUUAGAGAAAAAUUGACCUAUUUCGAUCGGAUAUAAACCCUGUUCGCUUAAAGAAAAAUAAAUCAAAAUUCGUACGUACAGCUAUAGAGCCCAAAAAAAAAAUACACCCUGCAUGGAUACAACCAUUAAAUAAUAGAUGGUCUCUAUAAAAAUAUUUUUUAUACUAUAAAAUAAAACUUAUUACUUCACAAAUAUAUACGGUUAAACUAGAUUAAUAUAAUAUAUCAAAUCAAUCGUCUUUAAAUAUCCAUUUUUAAAAUUAUUUUUGAAAUAUAUAUCUAACUUAUAAUCUGUUGUAUUCCUUUAAUUAAAUAAACUAUUGAUCACAUAUAAUAGUUAUAUUAUAGUGCUAAAUACAUGGGGCCGACAUAUAAUAUUUCACGUCAUAAUUAUUUUUAAAUAACUUAGCCAAUAUAUAAUAAUUAAUGUCAUUAUAAUCUUUUUUUAAAUAGUUUCACAUGAUAGAAAGGAUCAACAUGGUCUCAAAUAUAGCUUGACAAAUAACACUAAUUCAAAUCCACAUGCAGGGAGAGUGGAACAACAUUGUGGUUUUUCAAUUAGAUUUGAUUUAAUUUUAGUCAAUGUGAGAUUAAGAUUCUCAUUUUUUUUAUAACUUUUUAGAAUAAUUUGAUUGGAAUUUCCAAACUAUGAUCUUGCCAUAAUACAACCCCUUAAUCCAUCACGGGAAUUAUGGUCAUAUAUAUCUUUUCUUUGCCAAAUAGAUAUGGUAACAAAUCAACAAUCCUAUUCAUUCAACUUUUAUCAUAUAUUUUCUUAUAGUAGAUGAUCUAUACCAUACACCCUACCAAAGUGACUAUAAGUGCACUCUAACGAAUUAAUUACUUCAAAUAAUUUUGGAAAAAAUAAAUAUAUUCUUUGGAUUAGCAAAGAUGUCUGUCGCGAUCAUAUAUCUGUUUAGCUAUAACUUUUUAGUGAUCAGCCUCGCUCAUUUCAAAAGAGAACAUUGUAUCUAUAUCAUAAAAAAUUAAGCAGUACUGAUUAACACCGUAAACGAUUGUGUCUACACAAAAUUAAAAGAAACAAUUUUUCAUUGGAAAAAUACUUUCAUCACGUACCUUCUCUCUUUUUAUUCCUUGAAGGUCACCAAGCAUGCUAUGCAAAAUAAACCCAUUUCUAUACUUUUAUAUGCUCAUAUUUUUUUAACAAAUACUACGAAUAUAUUGAAAAAAAAAACAAGUAGAAGCGGAUAGAUCUUUUUUUAAGUAGAAGCCGAUAGAUCUUAAUAAAUCAAUAAAGCUCUUAACUGAGACAUAUUAAACUUAUAAAGCACAAACAAAAGAUAAUGGUAAUAUUGUUUCACCAAAUUUACUUAAUGCGAUGGACCUAUUAUUUUAUACCAUCUUAAGAACUCAAAACCAUUUAUCUAUGUUAAAAAACAAACUCCCUUCACCCAACCCAACCAUAUGGAUCCUCUCCACUGCUAUUAUAUGUGCAUGUACUCUCUCCGAUUCAACUUCUUCCUCUUCCUUUCUCUAACUAACAACUUGUAAACAUAAAAACAAUCAAUAACGAGAAAGCUGAAAAAUCAUAAUUAUUAAUCCUUUAGUUUGUUUGAACUAUUGAUUUAUUUAUAAUCAAAUAAAUAAUUUAAGAUCCAUAUUAAUCAUAUUUUUUACUUUAUAAAAAAUUAAAAUAUAUCAUUUGAACAUAGACCCCUGUCCUUUGUAUGCCAACCAAAUAAUAACAACAUUAAUGAAACAACAUAAAUAAAUAAAAUGACAGCAUGCAUCCCGUGCAUCAUAGGAACUAGAAAACAUAGAUUCUUUAUCUUUCGUAUACUUAGGAUUAUUAUUGUUGUAAUUUACUUUUUGGUUUGGAUAGUUUUCGCAACUAUUAUAUCUAUUUACACAAAUCACUCUAAAUCCUUUGCAGCGCUCUUAACUCACCACGUGUCAAGUACUAAAAAUUAGAACAAAAAAAAUUCCAAGGGAAAAAAACAUUUGACAAUGGGUUUUCACUUAAGUCAGUGGAUUCAUUAUUUUCAACCAUUAGGUCUUCCUUUAGAAAAAAUCUUAAGCCGCUAUGUGUCACGUCUUCAAAAUUAGAAAAAUCUUAGAAACUAUAAGAAAAAAGCAAAACAUAUGAUCAUUGGUUUUAGUUAAAUUAUUUAGAAAAAUAAAGUCCCCAAUGCAUCGCCCUUCCCAGAACAUGCAUUCACACAACACUGAACGCCCCCUUCCCCCUUGGCUCACACUCUCCACUCUCCACUACUCCCCCCUUCUAAUUUUAAGCUAUCAAACUAAAACACAAACUAUUAAUAAUAAUUGCAAAGAUCGUAUUCUUAAGCUAUAAAUCUAAUUUUUAAUUUAAUUGUUGCUCUUUUAAAUAAUCAAACCAAAAAUACAUGAUCCAUAAUGUCUGUAUUUUUAACCUAAAAUGUCUGUAUUCAUAAGUAGAAAAAUGUCAAUAGGGAUUGAAUUAAAUCAAUUGGACAAAAUAUAAAAAAUUUGUAAAACAAAUAGUUAUUACUUUUCAAAAACUGGAUAACCAUUGUACAAUGUUCGAUUGCCAUAACCAUCUUUAAGUGCUUAGAUGUUAAUGGCCUUCCAUCCAUCCUACACCAUGGCAUUACGAGUUUCUCAAUGUAUUAUUGCAUAUACAAGACACAUUAAGGUAGCAGUGCGUAGAAGUACGUAGUUGUGGUUAAAAAGUUAUGCAUUGCUACUAUUAACUUUAAAUUUAGGACUCAUAUUGGCUAGAUAUUUUUUUUAGAAAACGCUAUAGAUCACAUAUAUAAUAGGGAAGCGAGGUAUACAAUAUGUAUAUCUCCUAUGUAUUUAUUGACACGUUCUUUCCAGAAAAUGAAGAAUUAUUGACAAUUGCUUGUAGUAAUGAAUUAAAUAUUAUAUAGUUCAAAUCUUACAAAAAUAUUGUAAAAAUUAUCUAAGCAAUGUAGAUGGAGAAAAUUUAUGAAGAAAUUAAACUUUUCAAGCGUGACAGGUGUCAUCCGGUAGAUAUUCCACCUUACAAGUUAGUCAAGCGUAUCCUAUUUUACGUGCCCGCGCGAAUGCGCGGGCUACCUUCCUAGUUAAUUUAAUAGCCAAUUCAUACAAUUGCCUAUUAUCUGGUCCCACAUGUCAUGCACACAUGUAUAUUGGAGUCCGUGCUGAAGCUAGCUACAAAUCUAUAGUCCGCAGCUCUUCUCUUCCUCUUUUUAUCUCCUUAAAAUAUGUUUGUAGCUGAUUUAUACCCUGUACUUGCUUUUAGAGCAAGUUUAAUAGUAUUCCAAUUCAUUUAUAGCCAAUCUAAUAGCCAAUUCAUACCAUAGUUGCUUACUAUACUACUAAUAUAUGGUCUCACCUGUCAUACACACAUUGCGUUUUGGAGUCCGCGCUGCAGCUGGCUACAGAUCUGUAGCCCGCUGUUUUUCUCUCUCAUUUUUUAUCUCAUAAAAAUAUGAUUAUAGCUAGCUAAUAGUGCGUCCCACGCAAAAGCACACGCACAAACAAAAAAAAAAAGAAAGCACACGCAUAAACAAACUACACACACAAAAAAAAAAAAAAAAGCACACGCCGUUAUAUUCUCCACCAACUAAACGCCGUGGUCGUCGUCGCUUCGUAUUCCAUUUUUCCGCUUUCCUCUCUCCCCCGAAUCCCCAAUUCGCCCUAAACCCUGCUAGAACAGCGGCGAGCAGUGUCCUGCCAUGGCCACCGCCGCCUGCGGCGAGAGCCCUUCGCGGUUGGGCUCCGCCUCCGCCAUCGUCGCCGACACGGAGACCAGGUACCACCUCCUCAAGAUCGGCUGCUACUCGCGCACCAAGGCGACGACCCCCACCGGCUCCUUCCUCAGUUCCGGCCAGUUCACCGUCGGCGGCCACCGCUGGCGCAUCAAUUACUACCCCAAUGGGGAAAGCGCCGACUCCGCGGAUUACAUAUCGCUUUACCUCUUGCUAGACGACAAGGCCACCAAUAGCAGUGUGAAGGUGCAGGCACAGUUCAAGUUCCAGAUUAGUUCCACCGACCAGGUGAAGAACACACCUUCAUUGGCAUCCACGAAUGUAAAUACAUAUGGUGAGGAUUCUAGCUGGUCUUGGGGUCACAGAAAGUUCAUCAAACGGGAAGAUUUCGAGAAGUCCAAUGAUCUCAGGGACGACUCCUUCACCAUCCGGUGCGACGUAGCGGUUAUCGGAGAGAUCCGAACUGAGAAGACGACCGAGAUCCCAUCAGCCACAACAUUCGUCACUGUACCCCCGUCUGACCUGAACCAGCAGCUCGUCGACCUGCUGGAGACCGAGAAGGGCGCCGACGUGGUGUUUGAGGUCAGCGGUGAGACGUUCGCGGCGCACAGAUGCUUGCUAGCAGCCCGGUCGCCGGUAUUCAGCGCGGAGCUCUACGGCUUGAUGAAGGAGGGCGACACCGCCGGAGUCGUGCGUAUCGAAGACAUGGAGGCGCAGGUGUUCAAGCUGUUGCUCCGCUUCAUGUACACCGACUCGUUACCAAAGAUGGAGGAGGAAGACGUCAUGUGGCAACAUCUGCUUGUCGCGGCAGAUCGGCAUGAUCUACAGAGGCUCAAGCUGAUCUGCGAGGACAGGUUGUGCAACUACAUUGGCGUCAGCACGGUGUUGAACAUCCUGGUGCUUGCUGAUCAGCAUCACUGCGACGGGCUGAAGAAGGCGUGUUUUAGUUUUCUUGGCUCACUGGAGAACCUGAGUGCUGUUGUCACCGGCGAUGGCUUGGAGCAUCUGAGCAGGAGCUACCCCUCUCUUAUGAAAGAACUAUUUGUUGUGAUGGCACUUCCACCGAAUCAUGGUAGAUAUGUUAUCUUCUUUUAGCACGCAGGCAUGGUGCUGUACUCCCUGUGUAUAUAUGCUUUUGUUAUCAGGGGAUCCAGGAAAAUUGCCACCAAUCGAGCGUGUGACUGUGGAGAAUGCUCAAGGGGUGGAUCACUGCCCCGUUUCAGCUUCCGGCAGAGAGUGGUGCUCAGCUUGUGGACUGGUGGCUGAUGGCAAGGUUGGUCUUUUGAGCGAGCUACAGGAAUUAAAGCUCUCGUUUCACUCUUCGUGAUGGUUUAUUGGAUGAUUUGGAAGGAGCGUAAUGCCCGGAUCUUCGAGCAGAGAUCGCGCACAGCAGGUCAGCUAUUUAGUGGCAUCAGAGAGAUCAUGAUCUGGAAGGAGGCUGGAAUUUUUCGGCAAUGUGAUUAGCUGCUAAUUUUUCUUUCUCUUUCUUCCUUUUGGGGCGGCACCGCGGCAGCCAUUUGUGUUGUUGCCUGAAUCGGCAGCCUAAUUUAGAACUUGUAAGGUUCCUACCAAACUCUGUUAACCAUUUAAUCUUUAAGUGUCCCCCUGCUCUUUUCCUUUGGUGCUGUGUGAGGGAUGCGUUAGGCUGGAAAGUAGCUCCUUGUUCUUGUGAGGAGGUGCAAAAUUUGAUUCUAGACAAUGUUGUCACGAUAGGAAGUAAUCUUACUGUGAUUGCAGCUGGAA